GCUCAAAUCCCCCGCCCUCGCCGUGCGCCCGCCGGCUGAGCUUCCCCAUUUGCCCAUACCACGGCUCACCGCCGCUCCUGUCCCAUCCGGUUGCUGCGACCUCGAUUAUGGUGUCUACCCCGGCUAGGGUUUCAGCGUCGGCGUGUCAGUUGCUGCAAGUGGAGGCGGCAAGCUAGAGGCAGCAACUGCAUAAUUUGCAAGAGAAUCGUUUUCAGGCCAUACCGAUGAUUUUCUUGCAAGUUGUGCAGUUGUUGUCUCAAGCUUGCUGCCUCCCUUUGCCAGAACUAUUGAAUUUGAAACUACAGUCAAAAUAGUGCCACAUCCAGGUUUGCAAAAAGUAUUGAAAUAGACAUGACAAACAUGGUUGUGCUAUCAGUAAGUUACUAGAUCAUACCCUGUUAAGUUGAAAUACUGAAUCACAUGGUGUUGCAUGCAACUCCUUUCAUGGAGUGAUUUAUACAAUAAAUGCUAAGCAAGGACAAAGGAACUCAAAGAACAAAAACAACGCAAAUGGGAAACCUUGUCUCUUUUUUCAUUUGGUACUUCAAGUCCAGUAAGUUUGUGCCAAGAUUGUCUAAGCUCUUGACCGCGUGAUGGUUGUCUUCCAUGAUGUCACUCCUAAUUCAAACAAAUAUUCUCCCUAAGUCCUAGAACCAAUUAUACCUGUUAUGUUAGCAUGUGAAUUCCUAAAGAGAUACAUGAGCAGGUCAUGAAAUCGGUAAAUGAUCUCGCUGGUAGAACAUUUCCCUUGGCAAUAGAAUGUUGCAGUUUGUCUUAGUUUCAAGCAGAAUUGUCAGCGAGUGUCAUCUCAAAAGUUUCAGUGUGAACUGUAAAUGGUUUAUGCAUUGUAGAUAGUUUCAGAGGAUGGGUGCAGGCAAAUGCUUCAUAGUUCCUCUGUUCCUUCCAAAAUGUUCUGAUGUUAUGUUCUUUCUUUUUCAUGUUACGAGGUUCAGUUGAAGGUUAGGAAUUGGACAAAAGAUGUUAUCUGAUGUUCUGGUAGGCUGCAGAAACGUUCUACUUGUCUGUUUGCUGUUCCUUCUUGGUUCAACGUCUGCAGUGUUUACAACCUAUAAUCCUCGAGGUUGUUCUGUAACUGGAGAAAUUAGUGGAAAUACAUGUCUCGUUUAUUAAUGCUGUUUUGGCUUUGCAUAUUGUUUAGUUUGUAGUUGGUUUGAUGAGCCAUUUGAAUGUAAAACAGAAGGAGCUGUGUUAACUGAUCUUAGGUUGAGUUCAAAUCACAUUAUCUCUGUGUUCAAUAUGUUGCAGGUUGAAAAACCUUCGGCUCAGCUUGACAUACACAAACUGUUCUAAUGAGGAGCGCCACUCCAAGGGUAGCAUCUAUGCAAUACUUAUGGGCACUUCAUUGGAUAAACACAGCAAUUAACUCAUUAUGUGGACUUGCGCAAUAUCCAUGCCAUUCAGCACAGAUUGAUUAAGACGGGUGAUUUCAAAUCAAAGUCUCAUCCAGUUGUGCCUUUCUCUCUCUGUCGAACGGUUUGUCACCUUCAUCCAAUUAUAACUAGAUUGAAGAAGAUAAAUUGAUGAUAAAAAAAAUGACUUGACUGCAGUAGUAAUCUUUCUACAGCUGAAUUGCAGUAUUUUAUUUUGAGGUAAAUAGUCUUUAUUGAGAAUUUCUUCUUUCGUUCGAGAGAAUUCAGGUGACCGGUUAGUGCAAUUCAGGUGAACAGUUCAGAGCUGGUCCUGGAUGGUGCCACCACAAGGUUACUUGUCCGCGUCCAAAGUUAACAUGAGCCGGACCAAAGAAGCCACUAGUUAGGCUGAUAUUGUCGGCAAGGUGGGCUGCCUGGUUUCCCAGGUUUGUGGGUGUGAAGCUGCCGGAUGUGGUCGAAGGAGUUGAUGGCGGUGGCUACAGGCAUCGUUUUCUUUGUUGAAGUUUUCGAUGAAGCAGCCCUCAUCUUCCGAUCCGGUCUUACAGAUCGGAUGAUGAUGGCGCUUAGCGAUGCUUGGUGGCAUGUUCCCUCGGAGGGACCCGUUGCUAGUGCGGUGGUGGAGGCAUCAACACUCCACAUGCAGGGAGCCUUAGAUGAGCCAUUUUGGUCUUUUCUCAAAGGUCCUAGGCAUGUCGCCCCUCUCUAGCGCCGUCGAGGCUGACGAAAAUGCUCAUGGCAGAUCACGACGAUGCGAUGGUUUUCAGUGUGUACUUUUUUAGCAAGUGUGACUUGAUUGUCUGGCUGUGCGUGUAGUAUGUUCUGCCUUACCGGCAUCUUCUUUGUUCUCUGGUGCUUCAGACCUAGUCUAGCUCUGUACCGGUUUCUUCAUAAUCAAUAAAUUUAGCAACCCUCUUGCUAACAUAUAAAAUCACGGGAAUAGAAGUUCUAUGGUUCAACCUA